rnacentral:rRNA from 1 species
UACGAAGGGGGCUAGCGUUGCUCGGAAUCACUGGGCGUAAAGCGCACGUAGGCGGGUUGUUAAGUCGGGGGUGAAACCCUGAGGCUCAACCUCAGAACUGUCUUCGAUACUGGCGAUCUUGAGUUCGGAAGAGGUUGGUGGAACAGCUAGUGUAGAGGUGAAAUUCGUAGAUAUUAGCUAGAACACCAGUGGCGAAGGCGGCCAACUGGUCCGAUACUGACGCUGAGGUGCGAAAGCGUGGGGAGCAAACAGG